rnacentral:misc_RNA from 1 species
CUCUCUCACUCUCUGAAGCAAAACCCUAAUCUUCUGUUCGCUAAUUCAGCAUUCAGUAAACAAUGGGCUCCGAAGGAUCAAGGGUUGUUGUGCCUAGGAAUUUCAGAUUACUGGAAGAGCUUGAGAGAGGGGAGAAGGGGAUUGGAGAUGGAACUGUCAGUUAUGGAAUGGAUGAUGCUGAUGAUAUUUACAUGCAAUCAUGGACAGGAACGAUAAUUGGACCCCCAAAUACUGUUCAUGAAGGUCGUAUCUACCAGUUGAAAUUGUUUUGUGGAAAGGA